rnacentral:rRNA from 1 species
UACGUAGGGGGCAAGCGUUGUCCGGAUUUAUUGGGCGUAAAGAGCGUGUAGGCGGCCAGAUAGGUCCGUUGUGAAAACUGGAGGCUUAACCUCCAGCUGUCGAUGGAAACCAUCUGGCUAGAGUCCGGAAGAGGAGAGUGGAAUUCCUGGUGUAGCGGUGAAAUGCGUAGAGAUCUGGAAGAACACCGAGGGCGAAGGCAGCGUUCUGGGAAGCAACUGACGCUCAUGUGCGAAAGCG